rnacentral:rRNA from 1 species
CCUACGGGAGGCAGCAGUGGGGAAUUUUGGACAAUGGGCGCAAGCCUGAUCCAGCCAUGCCGCGUGAGUGAAGAAGGCCUUCGGGUUGUAAAGCUCUUUCGGCCGGGAAGAAAUCGCACAGGUUAAUACCCUGUGUGGAUGACGGUACCGGAAUAAGAAGCACCGGCU